rnacentral:rRNA from 1 species
GUAGGUGGCAAGCGUUGUCCGGAAUUAUUGGGCGUAAAGCGCGCGCAGGUGGUUCUUUAAGUCUGAUGUGAAAGCCCCCGGGCUCAACCGGGGAGGGUCAUUGGAAACUGGGGAACUUGAGUGCAGGAGAGGAAAGUGGAAUUCCACGUGUAGCGGUGAAAUGCGUAGAUAUGCGGAGGAACACCAGUGGCGAAGGCGACUUUCUGGCCUGUAACUGACACUGAGGCGCGAAAGCGUGGGGAGCAAACAGGAUUAGAUACCCUGGUAGUCCACGCCGUAAACGAUGAGUGCUAAGUGUUGGGGGGUUUCCGCCCCUCAGUGCUGCAGCUAACGCAUUAAGCACUCCGCCUGGGGAGUACGGUCGCAAAGACUG